GACGAACGCUGGCGGCGUGCUUAACACAUGCAAGUCGAACGGAAAGGCCCUAGUUUGGUUGGGUGCUCGAGUGGCGAACGGGUGAGUAACACGUGGGUAACCUGCCCUGGACUUUGGGAUAACUUCAGGAAACUGGGGCUAAUACCGGAUAGGAGCUCCUGCUGCAUGGUGGGGGGUGGAGAGUUUCGGCGGUUGGGGAUGGACUCGGGGCUUAUCAGCUUGUUGGUGGGGUAGGGGCUUACCAAGGCUUUGACGGGUAGCCGGCCUGAGGGGGUGACCGGCAACAUUGGGCUUGGGAUACGGCCCAGCCCCCAGGGGGAGGCAGAAGUGGGGAAUAUUGCACAAUGGGCGGAAGCCGGAGCCAGCAACGCCGCGUGGGGGAUGCCGGCCUUGGGGUUGUAAACCGCUUUCGCCUGGGACGAAGCGUGAGUGACGGUAAUGGGUAAAGAAGCACCGGCUAACUACGUG
rnacentral:rRNA from 1 species